UACGGAGGGGGCUAGCGUUGUUCGGAAUUACUGGGCGUAAAGCGCACGUAGGCGGAACAGAAAGUCAGAGGUGAAAUCCCAGGGCUCAACCUUGGAACUGCCUUUGAAACUCCUGUUCUUGAGGUCGAGAGAGGUGAGUGGAAGUCCGAGUGUAGAGGUGAAAUUCGUAGAUAUUCGGAGGAACACCAGUGGCGAAGGCGGCUCACUGGCUCGAUACUGACGCUGAGGUGCGAAAGCGUGGGGAGCAAACAGG
rnacentral:rRNA from 1 species